ACCCGGUCACGGGCGGUCAGGGCGCUCUCCAUGGUCACCCGCACCCCGUCGCUGCCCAGGGCCUCCCCCAGGUAGCGCACCCUGCC